rnacentral:rRNA from 1 species
CUUGGUCAUUUAGAGGAAGUAAAAGUCGUAACAAGGUUUCCGUAGGUGAACCUGCGGAAGGAUCAUUAUUGAAAUAAACCUGAUGGGUUGUUGCUGGCUCUCUAGGGAGCAUGUGCACGCCUUGUCAUCUUUAUAUCUCCACCUGUGCACUUUUUGUAGACCUGAAAAGGUCCAUGUUGCUUCAUUUUACCCCAAUGUAUGUCUAUAGAAUGUUGUGCCUAUGAUAAUAUAUACAACUUUCAACAACGGAUCUCUUGGCUCUCGCAUCGAUGAAGAACGCAGCGAAAUGCGAUAAGUAAUGUGAAUUGCAGAAUUCAGUGAAUCAUCGAAUCUUUGAACGCACCUUGCGCUCCUUGGUAUUCCGAGGAGCAUGCCUGUUUGAGUGUCAUUAAUAUAAUCAACCUUCAACUUGUUUGAGUGGUUUGGAUGUGGGGGUUUGCUGGCCUUUCAAAGGGUUUCAGCUCCUCUGAAAUGCAUUAGCAGAACAAACCUUGUUCAUUGGUGUGAUAACUAUCUACGCUUAUGAAUGUGAGGGGCAGUUCAGCUUUCUAAUCGUCUUUGGACAAUUCAUCAUUAAUGUGACCUCAAAUCAGGUAGGACUACCCGCUGAACUUAAGCAUAUCAAUAAGCGGAGGA